GAAAUGCGAUAAGUAAUGUGAAUUGCAGAAUUCAGUGAAUCAUCGAAUCUUUGAACGCACAUUGCGCCCCCUGGUAUUCCGGGGGGCAUGCCUGUUCGAGCGUCAUUUCACCACUCAAGCCUCGCUUGGUAUUGGGCGUCGCGAGUCUCUCGCGCGCCUUAAAGUCUCCGGCUGUUUGACCCGUCUCCCAGCGUUGUGACAAAUUUCGCAGUGGAGUUCGAGUCGACAUGGCCGUUAAAUCUUUCAAAGGUUGACCUCGGAUCAGGUAGGGAUACCCGCUGAACUUAA
rnacentral:misc_RNA from 1 species